CCGCAUCUUUUCGGUCAGCUCCCUGUGGAGCUCCGGCAUUGGAUCGAAGAUGAGUUGCCGUGGCAAGCCAGCCUGGCGGCGUCGUGUGCCACCGCGGCCUAAUUCGCCCCCGGGAGUUCAGGCUUUACUUUCCGUCGAUAUCGACCGGCUUGCGUCGGACCCCGAACGCCGAAGCCUUCGAUGGGAUGAUGAGCCUGAAUGACCGCUUCCAGAGUCAGAGUCUGGGAUUCUGCCUACGGCUCCGGAACGGGUCGCGCCAGGGAUUCCGGUUAUCUACCUCUGUACCAUUCACUUGUUAUCAUCGUCAUGGUCGUUUGAUCUGUUACAUCCCGCCCGGAAACCGCAACAGCUCAAAACUGGCUUACUGUCGACGAAGUAGAUCUUUAUUAGGACGAGCAAUUUUUCAUUCUUGGACAUGCUCGCCAACUGUUUCUCCCCUCGAGCAUCUGUGAUGUAUUCUGUGUACCUCGUUGUUCUCAAAAUAAAGCAUGAUGUUCUCGCGGCA